UACGGGGGGGGCAAGCGUUGUUCGGAAUUACUGGGCGUAAAGGGCGCGUAGGCGGUUUGUUAAGUUGGAUGUGAAAACUGUGGGCUCAACCUGCAGCCUGCAUCCAAUACUGACAGGCUAGAGUUCUGGAGGGGAUAGCGGAAUUCCUGGUGUAGCGGUGAAAUGCGUAGAUAUCAGGAGGAACACCGGUGGCGAAGGCGGCUAUCUGGACAGAGUCUGACGCUGAGGCGCGAAAGCUAGGGGAGCAAACGGG
rnacentral:rRNA from 1 species